GAAAAUAUAGAUUUCAUAAGUUUUUAAAGUGUGGUUUAAAAUAUUGAAACUUAUUAAAUAUAAAUGUAUAAUAAUAGUUCUAAUUUUUAAAUAAUUUUAAUAAAUGAUUAUUUUAUAAGCUAUUGUUAAUUUAUUUUAGUUUUUAAAAAUAAGUAAAUUUAAGUAUAUUUAUAAAAAAAAACUUACUUUAAAAUAUUAAAUAUUUUUAUCUUUA
rnacentral:tRNA from 1 species